AUGCAAGCUUCAUUAAUGUUUUCUAAGCUAAUCUACCAGAAAAAUGAGAGUGAUGAAGUUGGGAGAACAAAAACCACCCCAAAAACCAUGACCCUAACAAAUGAAAUGAAUGGAAAAUAUAUAGAAAAUUAUGUCCCAGACACGUACCGCGCGGAGCUGCCCUUUAUUCAACCUCUCAGCCAGCACCAUGCAAGCAGACUUGCCAAAAAUAUCUUGCGCCGCCCAGCUCUCAAAACCAUCGCCCUAAGACGACCUUUAUUCUUGCCCGACAACCAAAACGCGAGCACAAGUUAG